AACACACCAGCACUUACUACUGUCUGACAUAACACAAAGCAGCUACUGCAGGAGGUAAGAAGCUUAGCUUUCUCCUCCUCACCCCCACUUUUUUUUUUUUUCCUUUCAAAUAACUGCAAUUAAGUGAAGGAUGCGUUCCUACAAAGACAUGGGGGCUCAGGUAAUCGGGGCCUCUGCUCUGCUGGACAUCCCGAACAGGGUACCAUCUCUGUGCCCAAUUUCCUCCUCAGCGAGCCAAAAUUACAGUUUCGACUUCCCCAUUCUUUGUGACUACAAGUUGACCAUUCUACCUCUGAAAGCCCCGUGCUCCUUGGAGGGUGAGUGGGCAGAGCUCUGGAACCAGCUUCACCUGGAGGAGGCGAGUCUGCUCACGGGCCCCCACUCAGGAGAGUCUGGGAGCCAGGAGACACAUCUGCAGUGCCUAACUUGGAUAAGCAGUUUCUUUCUGGCAUGGAAAUGUGUUUUUCUCACCAGCCCAUAUCUUCACUAUUUAUCCCAACUGUGGUAGCUGUGGAGUGGAAGAAGUGCAUGUCCUGACCUCCAGGAAGUGAAUAUAGUCAAACGGAUUUGGCAAUUGUGAUGAGGAAGCUUGAGUGGAGGAGACGAUCCUGAAUUAUCCAGUACCCAUGGAGGGACCCACCCAAAGCUCUGGCCGCAUAUAUGGCAGAGGAUGGCCUUGAUGGACAUCAAGUCUUACUAUGUACCUCUGACUGGCCUGGAACUCACAGACAUUUAUCUGAAUGUGUGUGUUCUGAGUGCUGGGAUUAAAGGGCUCUAGAGUGCUCUGCUAUCACCAUCAAGAUUAACACACUUCUUUGUUUCAGAUUCAAAGUCCAGUCACCUUCUCUCUGAAAUGUAUUUGUAGCCACAGAAGCCGUACCCACAGCACUUCCAUGGCCAUGUAUAGGCAUGGUAAAGUGGUAAGAUUUUUGAGUCAUCUAAUAUGGUUUCCUAAACUGAGUUCAGACAAUAAAGCUCAUACUGCAUUGGUUGAUCAUUUUAUCGCUUAUGUCUCUGUUUUUGAUUGUGCUCAAGCACCAUGUUCACAUGGUAUUACUGUCUGUGUUCCUAAGUGCAGCAAGUGGCUGCAUUUGUGAGUACAUGAAAUGACUGCUAAUUGUUUGAAAAGCACCAUGAUAGAAAGCAUUGUUCCGCGAUGGAAAGUUAUGAACAGUGAAGUCCUGUUACUCAGGAUCAAGAAGCUGUCAAAUUUCUCUUAGUAAGGGCUGGCUGCCUUGCAGGUUUGGAGAGGUGAUGAGACACGGGAGAUGUUGAGAAUGAAGGCAAAGGAGGCAUGCUCUGCUAUCAUGAGGCUGCAGAGGGAUUUUUUUUUUAAAUACCUGCUAAGAGCUAUUCAGGAAAAGGGUUAUGUGAAAGAGCAGGUUUCAGUGGUGAUGGAGUUGGCUUGUUUCCCAAGGAAAUUGGCAAUCAAACUUACACAAGGAAAACGGUAUUUUAGUUGACAAAAAAAAAAAAAAAUGCUAACAGAGACUUGGGAGAAAUUAAGUCUGCAUUCCUGAUAGAGAUAAUAGUUCAUUAUUUAUGGUUUCUUUGUAGAGCACAGCUACCACAUGUACAGAUAAUUGACUGUGUUCUCUGUUUCGUUUGGUUUCCUUUCUACCUGGAGGUUAUUAAUUUGAAUAUUUAUUUUAUGUUCUUCCAACAUGCUAAAUUGUCUCUUUGUUUGUGGUGCUUUUCCCACCAAUUCUUUUGUUGUUUUUCCAGAUGCACAGAUAUAUUCUUAAGUCGAUGUGUUUUCACUGUACUCUUUCUUUUAUUGUGUAUUUUCUCUUGUUAAGCUAUGUUUCCUAACACCUCUAAAACAACAUUA
ensembl:antisense Gm13561 predicted gene 13561